UACAGAGGGUGCAAGCGUUGUUCGGAAUUACUGGGCGUAAAGCGCGUGUAGGCGGUUUGGUAAGUCAGACGUGAAAUCCCUUGGCUCAACUGAGGAACUGCGUCUGAUACUGCUAGACUAGAGUGUCGGAGGGGAUGGUGGAAUUCCUGGUGUAGAGGUGAAAUUCGUAGAGAUCAGGAGGAACACCUGUGGCGAAGGCGACCAUCUGGAAGACAACUGACGCUGAGACGCGAAAGCGUGGGUAGCAAACAGG
rnacentral:rRNA from 1 species